rnacentral:lncRNA from 1 species
AAUAAGAAGUAGUGAUGAAGAGGAAGAAGAGGAGGAAGAGGAGGAGGAAGAAGAUGAAGAUGAGGAGGAAGAAGACUUUGAGGAAGAGGAGGAAGAUGAAGAAGAGUAUUUUGAAGAGGAAGAGGAGGAGGAAGAAUUUGAGGAGGAAUUUGAGGAGGAGGAGGAAGGUGAAUUAGAAGAGGAGGAGGAGGAAGAGGAAGAGGAAGAAGAGUUGGAAGAGGUAGAAGAUGUGGAGUUUGGUUCAGCAGGAGGAGAGGUAGAAGAAGGUGGACCUCCACCCCCCACGCUGCCUCCUGCUCUGCCACCUACAGACUCCCCCAAAAUACAGCCCGAGGCAGAACCUGAACCUGGGCUCUUACUGGAAGUGGAAGAACCAGGGGCAGAGGAGGUGCCAGGGCCUGAGACAGCUCCCCCGCUGGCCCCAGAGGUGCUCCCCCCCCAGGAGGAGGUGGUGCAGGAAGGGGGAAGUCCUCCAGCAGGGCCUCCUCAGGAGCUUGUUGAAGAAGAGUCCUCUGCUCCCCCUAACCUUCUGGAAGAGGGGACUGAGGGUGGAGGUGACAAGGUGCCACCACCACCUGAGACACCUGCAGAAACAGAGAUGGAGACAGAAGCAGAAGCUGCAUCUCCACAGGAAAAGGAGCAAGACGACACAGCUGCCAUGCUGGCUGACUUCAUCGAUUGUCCCCCUGAUGAUGAGAAGCCACCACCUGACCCAGAGCCUGACUCUUAACCCCUUCUGCACCCUAACACUUUGUAUCCAAUAAAGUUAUGUCUGUAGAUAUUUAUGUUGCUCUUGGCUCUUGCCACACUGUUUCCUGCUUAGAGCCUGAGUGAGUGUGGGGGUUUGUUGCAUCCUCUCCAGAUGUCCCCAUUGUUGUCCUCUGUAGCUGACCGCUGUCUUCAUUGACCUGAGGAAGAACCACUGGCUUCAAGAGGUAGCCAACUAUCCCGUCAGUAAGUUAGUGUUGGAGUUUUCAAGUCUUGUCCUUUGUUGUUUUCUGCAGGAGCUUGCUGGGCCUGAAUUCAUAAUCUUGUAUCAGCUUCCCUUGUCCUAAGGGCUGAGGUUGUGUAUGUCCCACACACAGCCCUCUGCUUUCUGUCAUGUGAGCUGAGUCACUUGUGGGUAGUACUGUAGGGGACUGUGGUCUGCUUUUGAGUUGUAGUGCAAGUUGAACUGAUUUUUUGAAAAAUUUCAAGCCCCCAGAGAAAUUGUGAGAAUAUAUAACCUCUACUUGGAUUCAC